AAUCAAUGCGAGUGGGGAGCAGGGGCGGGAGAAUGUGUUAGGCUUUUUCCCCUGGCUGCAGUUUGGAGGAGCAGAGAACUGCGGGGGCUGGAGAGGAAGCUGGAAAGCCAUGGAGGGGGGAGAAGGCCUUGAAGACCAUGAACACCAGUUUAAGGACCACAUCAGCCAACUGUGAGGGAACUGUGUUGGCCCCUGGCCUUUCUUAAACGCGUCUCCUGGCUAUGGGCUGUCCUUACCUCCUUCCCUCACACCUCUAAAUAACCUGAAAUAUCCCCCUCACACCCCGACGCAAAGACUAAAGCUAGAAUUCCUCGUAACUGCUCCACUCUGCCAUACCACACAGGGCCUCCAGAGGGAGCCCUCCUCAGGGUUCCCAAACCUGCCGGAAAUGGCCAAAACUGACACUUGGGAAGAAAGUUCAAGUUUUGAAUGACUGACAGCUCCAAGGUCAUUGCACAGGAAAAGCGGAGGCCAGGCAUGACUUUGUCAGGUGCCUGACUCUCCUCAGGCUGCAGACACCAGACCAGAACUCAUCACUUGGGGGAGAGGGGUUGCGGGGGUAGUGGGAAACCUCUCACUGCCACAACCGCCAGCCCUGUAAAAGCCCUGGUUAACCGAAGCUUACCACCCUGUGUGGAGGCUGAUCUGGAGUCUGUGAGCCUCUCCUUCCAGACCGCACCCGACCUAACCCUCAGUCUCUUCCAGUCUACACUGAAAAUAACGUCUCCCAACCUGUUCCAGAACCUGGGGGUCCUCAGUAAUGACCUCAUCCUUUCAGACUCCUUUUACUCCCCUUCCUCCCACCCUCUUCCUCCUCUAUGCCCUGCUGAAAAGCCACGUCAGUGCAGAACAACACCCUGCCCGCCUGAGGGAUUAGGAUCCAUUUCCCUCUGAAGCGCUGCCCCUUCACAGCCUUGACAGAGCUGUUGCAGGCAGCAAGCACCUGACUAGCCAGCAGAGCCCUCGUAAGAUUCAACCCCCCACAGACAUCAGUGUGGCCCUGAGGAAGGCAGUAAGGCUGAGGUCGGGUAAGAUCACCCACCAGCAUAACCGCAUAAUGGGGAAGCCUCUUGGCUCUGGGCACACAUUAUGGAAUUUGAGACUUUGAGAAGGAUCUAAGGACGAAAAUGCCAGGUACUGGAGAAUCUUCUGGGGCUUUGCCUGCUGUAGUGCGACCCACUGCCGGGAGCUUUGAGGUGAGCUCCGAGUCCACGCCAUGCCUCAGGACAUGGAGGAAAAGGUGCAGGGCGGGGAGACGUUGGAAGUCACUAGAGACACAGCACCCUUCAGCUAUAGGACAAAAGGAGGUAGCUGCCGUGUCGUCCAAACUCAGCUUGACCCAGCAGGGACCAAGGGAGAGAUUGUACAUUGUCUCGUUCACCGUUAUGAGUCUGGAGCCAUCAGUAUCACCGAUGUUUCCUUGCCCGUAACAGCCAGUGGCAGCAUAGAUCGUGAGCCUCCACUGGUUUGUGGUGUUCCACGAAGCACGGACAUCCUCAGGGUCUCUAGCAGCAGCAUGGGCCAUGGACCACAGAUGUCAACACGGCCUUAGGUAGCAGCACAGGCCGCACACAUCAAGAUGGCCUCUGGUGGCCAAAUGGACCACAGACAAGAACAUGGCCUCUCAUGGUAACAUGGACAACAUGGCUUCUCGUGGGAGCAUGGACCUCUAACAUUUCCUUCUACUCUCCCAUAUCUACCAGUCACUACGAACUUCUUCGAUUUUUCACAAAUGAUUAUCAUUUAUCUAUUUGCUUUUAGAGCAAGAUGUCAGGCAGGUAUCUUAGUUGCAUCUUCUAUUGCUUUGAUGAAGCACCAUGCCCAAAAACAAGCUGGUGAGGAAGUAGCUUAUUUGACUUACACUUCCAUGUCCCUGUUUGUCACUGAAGGUCGGAACAGGAAAGAAACAGGGCAUGCACCUAGAGGCAGGAGCUGACGCAGAGACCACAGAGAGAUGAUGCUUACUGUAGUGCUCCCCAUGCCCUGCCAGCCUGCUUUAUUGAACCCAGGAAAACUGGCCCACUCUCAAUGGGCUGGGCCAUACCCCUUCAAUCAGUAAUUAAGAAAAUGCAUUACAGGCCCGAUGUGGGAUGUCCUGUAUGCUGUGAAUAUGUGUUGCUUUUAUUGGUUGACGAAUACAGCUGCUUUGGCCCAUGGCAGGGCAGAAUACAGCUAGACCAGAAAUCCAAGCAGAGAUACAGAGAGAAAGAAGGCAGACUUGAGAGAAGAUGCAAGCAUCCACUGAGGAGGCAAGACAUGUAGAAAAUGAGGUAAUGCCACGGCCACGUAGCAAUAUAUAGAUUAAUAGAAAUGGGUUAAUUUAAAUGUAAGAGCUAGCUAGUAAUAAGCCAAAGCCAUAGGCCAGACCAUUAUAAUUAAUAUUAAGCCUCUGAGUGAUUAUAAGUGGCUGUGGGACUGCCAGGCAGGACAGAAGGACUCUGGCUACAAAUGGUGUCCAAGGUUAGACUCUUGAGUUUCUAUAAGGCCUAUUUAAAGCUUAUAAAAGGGCUUCUAGACACACAAUAAUGGAGCCAAAAACAGUUCGUAGUUGAUGUCUGUUAUUGUGGGCCAUAGUGCAGAACUGCAUCCCCAGCUGCAGCAUGGUGGACUCUGAGGUCUUUCACAGCCACGGUACAAAAAGGCUCCUCCCAGCAUGGCCUGCAGGCCUGAGAGCACAGCUGAGGGGCUAAGAGUCCAGCCACAUGCUGUAUGGUGGGCUCCUGAGGCUGUUUCACGGGCCACUGUAAAGAGGCUUCUCCCAGCUGCUAUCUACAGGAGGUAAGCGUGAUGCUCACUGCCAACUUUGCCAUGCUGGAAAGCCUAAUGGGGUGGAGCCAGCAGCCAAAGCUGCCACUUUAGUCCUAGUCAUGUCUGCUUAGCAGUUUAAAGCAAUGAUCCGAAAAGGAUUACAAUAAAGAGAGAUUCAGACAAAAAGAAAUUACUGAAUGGGUCACAGUAUGUUUUAAAAAUGUACAUAGGCUUGAGAGAGGAAAAAUGAUAGAGACAUAGAUUAAAAGAACAAUAUAGAAAUAGAGUAAUAAAAAUUAUAAUGAGCCACAUAAAGAUGAACAUACACAGAGAGUCUGGAUUUUGUAUAUUUAUGUUUUCUUUCAAUUUAUUGACUUAAUGGGCUAGCUGAUGAGAGGCAUGUGGUAAUUGGACUACUAAGUCAAACCAACAUGUUGUAUGAUUGGUCCAUCUCAACCAGAAUCCUUGAAACUGCUGUGGAUGUUCAAUGACCUGGGUCAUUGUUCCCAUUGGAGACCUUUCAGGGGAUCUUGUUCAACCAAACCAUAUUAACCUGGAAGGAACCCAUAGCUUCUCAUCUUCUGUGGAAACAAAAGCAGAACCUCUUUUGCAAAGCAAUAUAUCCUUAGACUUAACUUUUAAAGUUAAGAUAAAUUUAAAUGAUAAUGUUGGGUGACUGUCCAGGCAGCCAGAUGUCUCUGUCAUUUCUAGAGUUUUGGAAGAUGCUUACAAUGCACUUCCUGUUUACUUACGUAAUAUUAUAUCCUUCUGGGGUCUUUGAUGGAAUUGAAUACUAGACAGUUAUAAUUAAAGCUUUCCUUGUUUAUGAUAGACAAUAAUUUAGAUAUAAAAUUUUAGGUUCACAAAGAUAGGAUAGAUGAUAGAGUAUUUUCUUUAAUUUUGCCAAAUAUAAACAAACUAAAUAUUAUAACUGUAAUUCUUGCUUGAUACCUGUUUUGCUAUCUGUAAUUUUACAAUGUUAAAGCUGAAAACUACCUUUUAAAUUAGACAGAAAAGAAAAAAUGA